CCUACGGGAGGCUGCAGUGAGGAAUAUUGGUCAAUGGGCGAGAGCCUGAACCAGCCAAGUCGCGUGAGGGAGUACUGCCCUAUGGGUUGUAAACCUCUUUUGUCGGGGAGCAAAAGCCGGACGUGUCCGGCUGUGAGAGUACCCGAAGAAAAAGCAUCGGCUCACUCCGUGCCAGCAGCCGCGGUAAUACGGAGGAUGCGAGCGUUAUCCGGAUUUAUUGGGUUUAAAGGGUGCGCAGGCGGAUUUUUAAGUCAGCGGUAAAAUCGUGGUGCGCAACCCCAUCCAGCCGUUGAAACUGGGGAUCUAGAGUGUGCGAGAGGUAUGCGGAAUGCGUGGUGUAGCGGUGAAAUGCAUAGAUAUCGCACAGAACCCCGAUUGCGAAGGCAGCAUACCGGUGCACAACUGACGCUCAGGCACGAAAGCGUGGGUAUCGAACAGGAUUAGAUACCCCGGUAGUC
rnacentral:rRNA from 1 species